rnacentral:lncRNA from 1 species
GGCCACACCCGAGGCAUAUGGAGGUUCCCAGGUUUGGGGUCUAAUCUGAGCAGAGUCUGAGACCUACAACACAGCUCACAGCAAUGUCGGAUCCUUAACCCUCUGAGCAAGGCAAGGGAUUGAACCCGCAACCUCAUGCUUCCUAGGCAGAUUCCUUAACCGCUGAGCCAUGACGGGAACUCCCAAGCGUUCCAUAUUUUUUGAACGUUUCCACAGAAAAGAAAAUCAUAGACUUGGAGAAUAGACUUGUGGCUGCCCGGGGGGAGAUGGAGGGAGAGGGAGGGAUAGGGAACCUGGGGUUAACGGAUCAAACUAUUACUCUUGGAAUGGAUUUACAGUAAGAUUCUGCUGUGUAGCAUUGAGAACUAUGUCCAGAUACUUACAUUGCAACACAAUAAUGGAAGGAAAAAGUAUGUAUACAUGUAUGCGUAACUUGGUCCCCAAGCUGUACAGUGGGGCGGGGGGGGAAGAGCACACAGAAGGAAUACAACAAAUCAUGAUGCCAGAACAGGUUGCUUGGGGUAGAUGAGAACUGUCCCGAACAAUUGUCCUGAUAAGAAGUAUAUUAGUUAACAUGGGCUGCCAUAACAAAGUAUUACAGAUGGGGAGUAACAAUAGCAAUUUAUUUCUCAUGCUUCUAGAUACUGGGAAGUCCAAGAUCAAGAUGCUGGCUGAUUUGGUUCCUAACACUCCUCCAUGAGUGUCCAUAUACUCCUAAGCAUUCUGCUGGGAAUGCUAAGGAUGAGGGCACUGCAAGGUGCAGUGCUAGGCCAGUGAAGUGAGGGAUUCACUCCAGCUCUGCCUUAUUUCCCUUAGAAGGACCAAGCACAUUAGUGGCAGGCAAGGAAAGGGCAGAAUUUCCUUCCUUUUUAAGACUGAAAAAUAUUCCAUUGUAUCUAUAUACCACAUUUUGCUUAAUCAUUAUCCACUGAUGAACAUUUGAGAGGCUUCCAUGUUUUAGCUACUGCAAAUAAUGCUGGUAUAAACAAUGGGAAACUACUUCUCUCUGUAUAAUCAUGUAUAUUGACCAACUCAGUUAAGAGCAGGGAAGUUUGUGUAAAUUUAGCCAGAAGUGUUUAGGAAAAUGCUUAGAAAAAUCUUUCUCUUCCGUUGUCCCAGAGCUGAGAAAUGUUUGUCCUUGGAGUGUGUAUUUGGUCCAGUAACUUACCAGACAACUAUAGGAGAAAUGAAGAUUUACAUUUCACUUCUCACUAGUUUAGACAUAUCAAAUGGGAAAGUUUUGCUCAACUGCCUUGUACUAAGAAACUCAGACUUAUGGAAAUGUUUUGUGGAACUGUGUCCUGUGAAUUGCCUCACUGUGGCUGGGGUGGAGUUUGGGUGUGAGUUGAGCUGUGAUUCCUAGGGUAAAAUUAAUCUCUGUGGGUAGGAGUUAGAGUUUUCCUAAAUGGAGGCUGUUUUUUUACAGUAGGGAUUAAAGAAAGCUCCUUUACAGAGAAACAGAGAAGUAAAUUUAAACAGGACAACUAGAUACUGCUGUGUCCAUGAAGAGAACUCCCAAUCCCCAUGAAAUGUUCAUUGAUUUAUUCUUUUCCUUUGACUUUAGAAAUAGUCAUAUUUAGCAUUUGGUUUUAAUUUUUCUCAUGGGUAUUAAAGUUUAUUUUGUUAUCAAUAAUCCUUCAGUAAAGUUGUAAAGGUAAAGUCAUAUGUCGAUAGUGUGUGGGAUUUUAAGGGAAUUUAAAUUUUAAGGGAAACAUCCUUUAUGUCAGAGAGCACAAUCUUAUGAAGGAAUUAUGGGAAAGUGAGGAGAGGCUCAAGGCUGAGCAGAGAGGGCAAGAGCUGUUUGGAAAAAUGGUGCAAUCUAUACUAAUUCAGGGGUCAUCUUAAUACAAUCCUCCUCCCCCUCCAAAAUACAUAAACAGAAGAUUACGGAAAGGGAAAAAAAGUUUUAAGAAAUUAUCCUAGAUUAUUUUCAUUCAAGCAUCUUAUUUUUUAAAUAAACAUUAAAAAUAUUUAAAGAAAGAAACUUUGAUCACAGACAUUUCAUUUACCACUCAGCAUUUCUGUACAUUCUUUGGUUACAAUAAGGAAUCAAGUUUAAUUUCAACAAUAUCAAGAGAGUGGUCUGAUGACAAGUUUGGGCAGCACAGGAAAAAGCUGAAUUACCACACUCAACUAAUAACAUAAUAGGGGUGAAUCCAUGGUAAACCAAAAAUCUCCCUUUUCAUUUUGUUGUGCUUCUGAAACAUCACCUUGGAAAACUCAUAUUAAAAUAACAAUAACUGUGGUUACAUAAUGGAACUACCUUCAAGUUUUAAUGAAUAAUAGAUUUUUCUUUAAAAUGAUCUCACAAGGAAGUAGUACUGGUGGUAUGGAACUGGUUCCACAGAGAACAAAAAUUGAAAAUCUCACACAUAUUGUAUCCUAGGUCAGCAGUUUUCAAACUUUUUGGUCUCAGUACUCUUUUCACAAUCUUAAAAAUUAUUAAGAACUCUAAAGAACUUUAGAAAAUAUGGGUUAUAUCUAUAAAAAUUUAUGGUACUACAAUUAGAGAAAUGAAAAUGUUAAUUUAUUAGAAAUAACAAUACCAUGUUAACAUAAUGCAUUUUUAUGAACACAGGUAUAUUUUCAAAAACAAAAAGGUGGCAGUGUUUUAGAUUUUUGCCAAUCUCAUUAAUGCCUGGCUUAAUAGAAGGGAGCUAAAUUUUCACAUGUGCUUCAUUAUUCAAUCUAUUGUGUAAUCUAUCUAUAUUGCUUUGACUGAAGUACAUUAAGAUAACAUGGCUUCACACAGAUGAAUAGUUGGAAAGUGAGGAAUAUUUUACUAACUUUCCCAGAUAAUCACAGAUAUUCUUCACAAGCGGUUGUAUCUUAAAAGUUAGUUGUAAUGUAGAAUCUGAAACUAUAUCAAUGAACUCUCUGUAUUCUGUUAUACGAAAAUGGACUGGUCUAAAUUGUACUUUGGAUGUUUCACGCACACAUGAUUUUGUAACAUCAUGCACUGGUCAUUUGAAGAUACUGUCUCCUCUAAUUAUGAAAAGACUCAGUAUAUUGACACAUUUUAAUCUACAAACUCUACUUGUUAACACAUUUUCCUCUGUAGAAAAGUCUCAGAAUUAGUAAGUUGUCAAGUUCACAGUGGUAGAUAUAAGAUUUCUAAAAUCUUUAGUUUUUAUUUUAAAGCUUUAAUUUUAUCAGUGACAACAAAUACUGCCAGUGGUUUUCCCUGAAAGGAGAGGCUAACUUUGGGGCUGACUUCAAGAAAAUAUUUGGGGGAGCUCCCGUUGUGGCGCAGCAGAAAUGAAUCUGACUAGUAUCCAUGAGGAUGGGGGUUGGAUUCCUGACCUCGCUUAGGUCAGGAAUCAGGCAUUGCCAUGAGCUACGGAGCAGGCUGCAGACACAGCUUGGAUCCCGCCUUGCUGAGGCUGUGGCUGGCAGCUGCAGCUCCAAUUCUACCCCUAACCUUGGAACUUCCAUAUGCUGCAGGUGCAGCCGUAAAAAGACCCCCUCCCCUCCAAAAAAAUCUGUCAAAAUCCCACAUCUGAAUGACCAAAGUUUGUCACUUGUUCUUUCAAGCAAAAAUGCUAUUCUGUGAAAACAGCGGCUAGUUAAAAAUACAUGCACUCAAUACCUAAACUUUAAUAAAAGUAAUGCUCGCAAUUUCAUCAAGGACAUUCUUAAAUGAAAUGGGCAAUUUUUUUGAUUGCAAGUACAUGACUGAGAAUAAUGACUACUACAGUUUGGUGCGACUUGUCAAUGAUUUGUGCUAAGGCCCCAGAAGUUUUAUUUACUAUUGAUCUGACACUAUCACUGCAAAAACUAGCAGUAAAGAACCCAGUAAUAGUUGGUUGCCCCCUCCCCUCCACUCCCAUACCUGAAGCACAUGGAAAUCCCUGGCUAGGGGGUCGAAUCUGAGCCACCACUGCGGCCUACACCAGAGUUGUGGCAAGUGUAUCUUUAACCCACUGCCCUGGACCUCAGGGAUGGAAACUGCACAAAAGAGAGCAGCUGUGGAGACAACAACUGAUCCCUGACCGAUUGCACCAGUGGCAACUCCAAAUAACAGCAUUAUUAUAAACAGCUUUGAGUUUGCAGACUCUCUGAAAGGGUCCUGGAGAUCCCAGGAUUGUGAAACCACACUUGGUGAACUGCUAUGGUAGGUAUGCAGAAUAUAAAAACAAGACACCACCCCUAUAUUCUGAAGUUCAUCUUGUAACAGAGGAAACCUAUAGAGAUGAUUACAACACAGCUUUAAUGAUAGAAGAAAUGGCAGCAGUCUGGAGGAUAAAGACAAGCGUGGCAGUGGAGAUCAGGUAGCAUUCCUGCAGUAAUGCAGACAAGCAAUGAGGAGGACCUGAGCUAAGGAGGUGGCACAAGAAUGGAGAGAACUUUUUUUUUUUUUUUUUUUUUUUUGCUUUCUAGGGCCACACCUGAGGCAUAUGGAAGUUCUCAGGCUAGGGAUCCAAUCAGAGCUGCAGCUGCCCACCUACAUCACCAAUCAAGAGAUUCUGGCCACAUAUGCCACCUACACCAAAGCUCAGCAAGGCCCUAUACUUAACCCACUGAAAGAGGCCAGGGGUCAAACCCACAUCCUCAUGGAUACUAGUCGGGUUCAUAAUCGGCUGAACCAUAACAGGAACGCCUGGAAAAACUUUUAAGGCGGUGGAAUUACAGGACCUGGCGACUGAUCAGCCAUGAGGACCAGAGGAAUAGGGCAAUUUUGUGGGCGGUGCUGCCUUUCCUGAGAGGCACUGCAGGAGGAGCAAGGCGGAGAUUUACGUUUAGUUUGGCAUCAACUUUGAGUGUCAGAUCUCCAGCCAGCGGUGUCACAACAGGCAAUUAGCUAUUACCGCUUCUUCCAAGAGGGCCUUGCCGAGUUUUCUCACUCCCUGCCGAAUCCUCAGUGCCUAGCACGACACCUAGCUCUUAACGCUGAUUAAAUAAAGAAACGAAUCUGGUCGGGAGUCUGUGACAGUCAUCUAAAAGGAGGGUUCCAUUUGGCAGUCAUUUUCUAUACAUGUUCAUUUGAAACCACAGGAGAGGAUGAAACCAGCUCGACUGUAAUCAUAGGAUUUAACUCCCGCUUAAAAACCUUUCUGGUCCUAAAAAGCUAGAAUAAUUGUCGUUCUUGGGAAAUGUUGCCUGAAAUAGGUGACGACGGCCUUGAACAUUAAAGUUGGUUCGGAAAACCUGUUUUUGUAUAACGCAGAAUACUCAACAAGCGAGACUUGUUACCUUGAAGCGCGCUUUUGAACAUCUAUCAGACUGGUUUUACCCGGGGUGAGGUGGGACUGACAUCAAAUGUCCCACCUUUCAGUGUCUGGACGGCGUCUUUCACAAACUCCAUUUUCAUAAAACGUAGAGACUCCCCCAAAUCCCAGGAAGCAGCCCAGGAGCAGGUUCGGCUGUGGCGGGUCC